rnacentral:rRNA from 1 species
AGUGAACGCUGGCGGUGGGCCUAACACAUGCAAGUCGAACGGUAGCACAGUAAGAGCUUGCUCUUACGGGUGGCGAGUGGCGGACGGGUGAGGCAUACAUCGGCAUCUACUUUUUCGUGGGGGAUAACGUAGGGAAACUUCCGCUAAUACCGCAUACGUCCUACGGGUGAAAGCAGGGGAUCUUCGGACUUUGCGCGAUUGAAUGAGCCGAUGUCGGAUUAGCUAGUUGGCGGGGGAAAGGCCCACCCAGGCGACGAUCCGUAGCGGGUCGGAGAGGAUGGUCAGCCACACGGGAACUGAGACACGGUCCAGACCCCUGCGGGAGGCAGCAGUGGGGAAUAGGGGACAAUGGGCGCAAGCCUGAUCCAGCAAUACCGCGUGGGUGAAGAAGGCCGUCGGGUUGUAAAGCCCUUUUGUUGGGAAAGAAAAGCAGCAGGGUAAUACCCCGCUGUUCUGACGGUACCCAAAGAAUAAGCACCGGCUAACUUCGUG